rnacentral:rRNA from 1 species
GACGAACGCUGGCGGCGUGCUUAACACAUGCAAGUCGAACGGAAAGGCCCUGCUUUUGUGGGGUGCUCGAGUGGCGAACGGGUGAGUAACACGUGAGUAACCUGCCCUUGACUUUGGGAUAACUUCAGGAAACUGGGGCUAAUACCGGAUAGGAGCUCCUGCUGCAUGGUGGGGGUUGGAAAGUUUCGGCGGUUGGGGAUGGACUCGCGGCUUAUCAGCUUGUUGGUGGGGUAGUGGCUUACCAAGGCUUUGAUGGGUAGCCGGCCUGAGAGGGUGACCGGCCACAUUGGGACUGAGAUACGGCCCAGACUCCUACGGGAGGCAGCAGUGGGGAAUAUUGCACAAUGGGCGGAAGCCUGAUGCAGCAACGCCGCGUGCGGGAUGACGGCCUUCGGGUUGUAAACCGCUUUCGCCUGUGACGAAGCGUGAGUGACGGUAAUGGGUAAAGAAGCACCGGCUAACUACGUG